UGCGGAUGUUGUAAGUGCCGAUUUGUUGUUCCCCUUUAUCCCUGCUCCUUGUUCUGUUUCCCUUUAGCGAUAAACUUUGAUUGCUUAAACAACCAAGUAGCCUUGGCGGUACCUGUCAUUCCUUGCCCUUUGCGGCUGCAGACAACACGCCCUUGUGCAUGUGUACUUCCACAUUGUUGGAGACGUAUGGUGAGGCAGAUUCCUAAAAUGGGAUUGCUUGGUGUAAGGUGCAGGGAAGGGAAAGAGCAGUGUAGAGGUGUCCUUCUUGCACUGGCUGCUUUUCAGGGGGUUCUUCCGUGAAGCACUGAAGGGUCUGAGAUUUCACCUACUUUGCAAGCUGAGAAGUGAGCCUGCCGCAGUUUCAGAAGACAAGCCCAGGGUCCGGGACAGACAGUGGACACCUCACAGCAGGAGCAGUAAGGACACAUCACCCAGGGGCUCUGCCAGGGCCAGCCCACACCUGCCUGCAUGGUUCAUGGAGAGGAGGGCUGGGGGGAGGGGACCAGGCACUUCUGUGCUGAGCAUGACCUUUGCCCCAGGGAAACACUAUGGUAAUUAAACUGGACAGGAGACAAACUUGCUCUCUGCUCCAGGGGGUGACACUGUUUCCAUCUUCUAAGGCGGUUCACGAGGAAAACGUCCUCAAAAGAACAGUCGGGAAACAAGGGGCGAGCCGCAGGCAGCGUCCCCCAGCUCUUCCCUCCAGCUGGCCCCUGGUCUACGGGGUGCGGGUCCCCGAACUCUCACCCCGCAAGCAGGGUGCCGCCGCCUCUGCCCGCCAGGCAGGCUCACGGGGUAGAAGUCUUCAGGGCAAGGUGGAGGGAGCUGCCUUCCAACUGAGGGGGCUGGGGGCAGCCUCGCCAGGGCUCAGAGCGCAAGGGUAAUGUCGGGGGCCACCUGUGCCCGCUUUUCUGAGCCGGGCUCUCUGUCCCAGCAGAGGUCACGGGUCACAGGCCGAGGACACAUUCCCUAUCUCUGCCUCCCCUUCUUUCUCAGCAGGGUCUCAGCGCAGAGUAGGGGGGGCACCCCCAAAGCAGCCCCCGCAUGACCAAACCAACCGGCUGGGUGCCUUGCGCUCAUGCUCUGAUUCUGUCAUGCAAAUCUCCGCUGACCUUUUAGGGCCCGUGGGCCCCGAGCCAGCGCCCCGCCCACUUCCGGCCGCAGCCCGGGCCUCCGGGAGGCCCCCCCCCAACUCACCUCGCACACGCUGGCCCACUUCCGGCCGCAGCCCGGGCCUCGGCGCCCCACCCCCCCAACUCACCUCGCACACCAGGGCAGGAGCCCACGCAUAACUUCGGGGAAACGGAGGGGCGGGGAGUUUCGGAUGUGGCAACGACGCC
rnacentral:lncRNA from 1 species